GACGAACGCUGGCGGCGUGGAUUAGGCAUGCAAGUCGAACGGUAUCAUCCUUUCGGGGGUGAGAGAGUGGCGAACUGGUGAGUAACACGUAGGUUAUCUACCCUCAAGACGGGGACAACCCAGGGAAACUUGGGCUAAUACCGGAUGUGAGCAACUUUUAGUUGUUUGAAAGGUGGCGUAAGCUGUCGCUUGGGGAUGAGCCUGCGUCCUAUUAGUUAGUUGGUGAGGUAACGGCUCACCUAGGCAAUGAUAGGUAGGCGGCCUUAACGGGUGUCGCCCACACUGGGAUUGAGAUACGGCCCAGACUCCUACGGGAGGCAGCAGUCGAGAAUAGUCUACAAUGGUCGGAAGACUGAUAGUGCGACGCCGCGUGAACGAUGAAUCCCUUCGGGGUGUAAAGUUCUUUUAUAUGUGAGCAGUGCUUCUUAUAUUAACAGUAUGGGGAGAGAGAUAUUAGCAUAUGAAUAAGCAACGGCUAACUCCGUGCCAGCAGCCGCGGUAAUCUCG
rnacentral:rRNA from 1 species